CUCCCGCCGGCGGGCCCUAUGCGGAGCGAGCAGGCGGCCCGGGGGCACCUGCACCGCACGCGGCCCCACCGCAGGCCCGCGGCCCGCUGGGGCAGGAGGAGGCCGCGCUGAGCGCAGCGCAGGGCCCGCUACGAGAUAAGGCCGCACGGGGCCGAGCGCCGAGGAGGGGACCCGACCCCCGGAGGUGGAGGGAAGGCUGAGGCGCGGGGAAAGGCCCCGGCGCGCCGUUACCUGUGGCGCCGAGCAUGAAGUCCAGGGUGCUGUGCCGCGCUGCUGCCAUAGUGAGGUAGAGCCCUGUGCCAUGCCUGGAGGAGGCGGCGGCGGAGCGGAGAGUGCGGCGGGCAGCCUAUAUGUGCGCGGGGCUGCGGCGGCGCCGCGGGGGUGGGAGCGCGCCGGGCCGGGCGGGGCCGCGAUGGCGGCGGGGCGGGGCCGCGAUGGCGGAGCGGCGGUUGGCGACCCCUCGGUUUAGGGAUGGGGCGGGGGUUGGUCAAGGGGGAGGGUGGCGUGGGGGUGGCGAGAUGGCAGCCGCGGUUGCGAGCCGGGGAGGGGGAAGAAAAAGGCGGGAGAUGGCGGCGGAGGGCGCUCCCUCAGGCGGCUCCCGCCCGCACCGUGCGGCUAGGGGAAAAAAAAAACAAAAACAACCCCCGUUUCCUUUAAGAUUCGGUCCCCUGCAACGAAAUUCCUGGACGGUCUCCUAGCGCCGGGGCCAUGGAGCAGCUACCAACAGCAAGGGCAGCCCCAGCGUUGGGGCCACGGAGCUGCUCCUCACCCCUGCCCUUACCGAGCAGAGAGGUUGCUGCCUUCCCAUGGCUUCGCUAGCGCUGGAGAAUCUUUAAAACCUUUUAUUUAAAGUCUUUUUAAUGAAGGAUAACUAGAAUUGCUUGCGGAAGCCGCAAAUGAUAGGAGCCAUAUGUAGUUACAAACCCAGAAACAUCCCACCCAGAAGCAGUUCGCAAUAGGAUCGAUGAUUAAUGUUGUCAGGCACUACGAACGUUACAGCUCUUGGCUCCUCUCUUGCAGGAAUCUGCAGAAACGAGAUCUAAUGGGAACAAUACGACGGUAUCGGUGAUUUCAUGGCAUUCUGCAGCUUAAGGAACAAAAAGUUUUACAAGAAAUAAAAAAAAGUUUACAAGUAAUCGCUAUUACAUAAGCUAAUGUAUCACAAUCACUAUUUCUGUAAGUUGCAAUAACAUUUUUCUUCUUUGCAAGCUUUCGUUGCCCAUGUUUUAAACACUGCAAUUCCACAGAUCCGGAGCAAAGCAAAAACGUUCCCUGGAGAUGUGUAUCAAACGAGGCAUAGAUGUCUGCAGGUCUGCAGUAAUUUCAUUUUUGUCAGCUGGUGUUGAUUUGACUCUGCCAAUCCCUGAGAAAGUCUCUCGUGGAUUAAAACAGAAAUUAGCCGAAGUAUGGGGCUCUGCAGAUUCCUCUUAAAUAUAUUUGAUCCAGCCCUGCAUGUUACAGGGGACUGCAUAGUCCUGAUUCCCCAAAUGCAAGGAAUUGGGUGUGCAAGUUGCUGUUUCACCAAGAACUGUGCUCUUUCUUUUGAGCUCGGUGCUUCCUUGCUGCCUUUUCUGGUCUCUCUACUAAUUUUUUUCAGGCAUGAAGCUGUCACAGGACAGCCAGGAAAAUUCCCAUAUUUUAUGAUCUCUGAUGUUUCACCUUUGUUUUCAGCAAUAGCAGUCGUUUCACUUAUUAUAUACAGAAGCUCACUGUCUUAGACUUCAGUGCGACAAGGAAAUAACCAAUGCCCUUUGUUUAGCUGAAGCAAUUACAUUAUCUUUCCAUUGUGGAAUAGUCAGAAGAAAGUAAUGGUGAUGUUGUCACCUAAGUAUACCUUCAAGUAUUUGCUCAUACGUGCCAGGAGCCUAGCUCAAUUAUGCCCUGAUAUACACAUGAACAACUUACCAGGUUUACAGGGGGAAAAAUAGAGCAGAUCUUUUGCUGGCAUUAAUUUUGCUAUUUAAGACCUACCAUUCUAGACUAGUACUGGAAGGUGGGUGGAGCAUUGUCUUUUUAAUUAAACUUGCUACAGGAAAAAAGAAACAGAAUAAUCUUACCCUAUUCUUUUUUAUGUGGUUGGGAAUUUUAUGGAUCAGCACUGGACUUCAUCUGAAGAGCUGGAAAGGCUAAAUUAAUUAUUUCAGAGAACAAUAUCAAAUCUUUCUUAGACUUCAAUGUAAAUGACAAUAAUUAGAUAUAAAUGGUUUUCACAGUUGCUCAUUAAGUUAGGUGGAGAUGGGAAAGCUGGCAAAAAUAGUGUGAACAAAUUCAAAAAAGGAAUAUGGAUGGAAAAGAAAAGGUUCACCUUGGAAAUCUUGGUAUAGCCACAGGAAAACAUUCAGCAAAAGGAAGAAAUCUGCAGUAUUGACCUGUAGGAGUGAAAGCAGACAGUAAAUUAUAUGUGGUCUUACAGAGCAGACAUAUCAGAAAGCCCACAGAUGCCCCUCCAAGUGAAGUGAAUCACUGAGGAAGAAACUAACAGAUUUUUCUCUUCCGUUCCUUUGGCAUGACUACUCUUUGCCUACUACUUAACUAAGUCAUGCCUGGGAUAUUUUGGGAAAUCUUCCUAUUAGAAAAUUACACUCAAGGGGAAUUUAAAGAAGAGCAAUUAAAAUAAUUAAAGAGAUUGAGGGAUUGAUUUACGAGGGAUGAUCAAAAGAGCUGGAAUAUUAAAACAUGUUUCACCAAUACUGUGGAUUUUGGAUGACAUCAUAGUGUUAAGAUUAGCACAGGCUAUAUGAAAAGAGAUUAUUCAGUAUAGGAUUACAUGCAUAUUUUGAAGCCAGUAGAGAUUGCUAAAGUGGAUGCAACAGGUAAAAAAAGAUUCACGUUUUUGCACCAGUAUUUGCCAGUUAUAGAGUGCCUUGUUCUGAAAUGCAGUGACAGAGGUCCUACUCUCCACGAGGAGAUUUGACAGAUUAGGUAAGACAUACAGGCUGGAGGGGACAAUCUCACCCAGAGGGUGGUGACACACUGGAACAGGCUGCCCAAGGAGGCUGUGGAUGCCCCAUCCCUGGAGGCAUUCAAGGCCAGGCUGGAUGUGGCUCUGGGCAGCCUGGUCUGGUGGUUGGCGACCCUGCACAUAGCAGGGGGGUUGAAACUCGAUGAUCAUUGUGGUCCUUCUCAACCCAGGCCAUUCUAUGAUUCUAUGAAAAAGUCAGGAUAAAGGCCUGUAAUUGUAUGCAACAACCUGCAGUAGAAGUACAUUUUAGCCUGCAUCACCUUUUUUUUCCAUACGCAUCCAUAGCCAGCUGAAAUACCAAACAUAACAGUAUUUUUAAUCACAGUAUUUUAACCGCAGUUCAUCUUCUCUGACUGCAUCCAUCUAUAUUAACUGAUCUGUAAAUAUUUCACCUACAGGUGCCACAGCCUGAAAUUCACCUCAGGAACUAAAGUUGAAAACAACAUAUUCCUCACAGACAGCAAAGAAAUAUCUUAUAGGAAGACCUUUAUCCUUGUGUUAUUUUAGAUAGUUCACAGAAGAUUUGUUAGCACUCUUUUAGGACUACCUGUAUAUCUCACAGCUUUGUCACCUGUCAAUAAAGUGGUCAUCUUGUAAUGCUAAAUGAAGCCUUGAAGUCAAACAUGCUUGUUUAACAUGUACAUGCACACAGAAUCUUUCACGUCUGAUUCUUUAUAUUCAAAAUAUUGUUGAUUUAUGCUAAACAGGGGCAUUUGUACAGUACAAGCACAAUGUACAUUUGUACAAACAGCACAAUGUGGUAACAGCCUAUGCUGAAGUGACUGUCAGAAGAUAGUAACAAAAUGGGAAAAGCAGGUGCUAGAAACAAAAGAGGCUUAGAGUUUGAAUCAAACUCCUGGAAGUUGCUUCAUCACCUUCAGUGUUUAUGUGUCAUAUCGGGUCAUUUUUUACACCAGAAUGUUAACAACGACAAAAACACACAGAGAAGCAAACCAACAAAAAAAACCCUACUACCCAAACUCUGAUUCUUUAGUAUUUGCUUGUAAUUGAUAGAGGUUGUAGUAAAUUUGCAGGAGAGGGAAGAUAGAAACCAGACAGAUACUUGCUUCCAGAAAGGCAUAAUAGGGAAAAAAGGGUCUUACAAGUUUCUGACUUAGAAAACAACUUGAGGUAAGGAUGUGGUACCAUAAUUUUGACGAGUGAUGAAGUUCACCUCUUAACAAAACUGUUUAUCUUAUAAAGACAUGUCGAUGGCUAAGAAAACUAGAACUUAGUAGUCUAAUGAAUUUACUUCUUUAAUUCCUACUUCUGCUUCUGUGUCUGAGCACGUUACUGUUUACUAAAACAAAAUUUAUCUCCGUUUUCUUGGAUGCUCACAAUCAAAUAUGUAGACUUGCUAGGGCAUUGCUCUAAUCUUUAAAGGCAAAAAAGAGGCAGGAAACUGUCUCCAAUUAAAUUUUAGCUACUGCAGAGUCUACAUCUUAUUGGAAACCAUAAAGAAAAAAUCUAACUUGAAGAACAAGCGUGUUGAGUUAAGCAAGGAAGCACAUUCAAACUGAUUACAGGGAUGAGUGAAGAUUUAAUUUUUUUUAAGGUCUGCAAACAAGGACCCUGGAGAGUCAAAUUAUAUCACAGGAUGUAAGGCACCUCACAGAACAAGAGAACAAUUUCAGGAAGUUUUAGGAAACUCAGAUAAGAGACAGGUGAUUUCAGUGACAGGCCAGCCCUUGGACAGCCAACGAACCCCUCUGAGUAGGCAAAUUUGCUAUCUUUCAUCAUUGACUCAGUAUCCAGUAGACGGCAGUCUCCAUCAUUUUGAUCUCGGUUAACAGUUGCAGCUGAAAUGAGGUAAAAGUGAAAUCAGAUCAAUGAAAUCUUAAAAAAUAAGCCAAAAAAGUCAGGGAGAGCAAGUUUUUUGACAGCUUUUAUUCCUUUAAAAGCUAUAUAAAUAAGGGACAAACAUGCAUAGGUUGGUAAUUUGUAACCCAAGCUUUGCAUAACAUGAAGGAAAUACUACCCUUUCUGAUCAAAAUGUUUAUAAGGAAGGAAGUCCUGCACGGAGAAGAAUGGAUGACAGAUUGAUUAAAAUAGGAAUUAUUAGUUCAUCCACGGUUAGCAUAAAGAGGUGGUAAAAUGCAUGAAAAAAAAAAUACUGUAAAAAAACAGACAGUGGAAAAGAUGUUUCACCUGCAACAGAGACCAGUCAUAUUUAGUUUACUUUAUAUAUGUAUUGUGAAAUACUGUUUCUUAUAAAGUUGUUCUCUUUUCCUUUCUGAGUGAUGAUGCCUCAACGUACAGUCUGAGAAGUGCUGGUAAAUAAUAAUGUGAUUUCUUUUUUAUCUUAUGCACGUUAUGCUCUGGACUCCUUAUUUUAAAGGCUGCUGCCAUCAGAGCCAAAGACAGAUUUACUGCUGACUUCAAAGGAGACAGAAUUGUAGUCUUUGCCUGCGUGCCCUACAGACAGGACUGGAUUUAGUUCUGUUACUUGGCCAUUCGACAUUCUAGGCAGAAGUGUUCAAGUACACGCUGAUAAAUCCUAUUGGCUGCACUGACACACACACUGUUGUAGCUCUGUGAGGGAUGUUAGUGUAUGUUCACUUGGUGAAGUUUCUGUUGUUAGCAGAAGCUUUACCGCCUUGCCUGUCACAUUUCUGGUUGCAAGUGCAAUGCUAAUUCCAAGUAAAAAGAUGGUCUCUUCCUCAAAAGGAUUUUCAGACUAAAUAAAGCUGCCAGUCUGAAAGGCUGAAGUGGUGGUGCAGGAAGGCUGUUCCAUAUUAGGAUCUCCUGUGAGCCCGGUCAAUUAGCUUUGCAGAGAUUUUCGGAUGUCUAUGGUGCAGAUGCCUAUAUUGGAGCUGGUUGUCUCAAUGGCCUCAGCAGUCAGCAGUGCCAUUUUUAAGGUGUGAUUCAUCUCACCCUACUGAAGAUGCCUAAAACAGAUCAAAUUGUGCUUUGCUUCUCUCCAUUGACUCCAAACAGUUUAAGCGAAUGCCUAUCUGGCAUUCCACAUCCUGUCUGUGCUCUGCACAGAUUCAAUUGAUUUCCUUCCAUUCAGAGAUGCUUCUUAACAUGAAAUCAGCAUUGCCGCAUGAGGGGCCACAGCAGUGAUUGCUCUUCGAAAGUUUUCUCCUUAGCAGAAAGUUUUGCACAAACUCCUCAUUCAUUUUAUAAGAAACAGCUUAUGCUUAGGAAAAAGAGAUGACUUUUCCAAGGGAAAAAUAAUAUGGCAAGAUAAUACUGAUCUACUCAGCAGGCUGUGAUCUGUCUGUUGGCUGCUAGACCAUAUCUGAGCUUAUUAAAGCCAUCACAGAAAGAAGUUGGAAGGACUUUGUGGUUACUCACAGGCAGGUCCUCUAAGAUGUUGCCAGGUAGCAUCUAAUUAUAAAUGGGUUUUUAAAUGCAAUGUAAUUAAAUCAAAAGAUAGCGUCAGCAAUAUGAUCGAAAGCGAAUGAUCUAUAUCUCACCUAAAUAGUUUCACAAUUACAGUUACAAUGAAUAGACCAGAUUUGGAGAAACAUAAAUGUACUUAAUCUUCCAAAAUGUACGUUACCAGGUACUAAACCUAUUGAUAAGGUAGAAAAUUAAUGUAGAAGGUAUUUUUUAGUCUGAUAUCAAAACUUCAUCAGAACCCCAUAAAGCAAGGGUUUGCAUUAUGGUUUGGGAUUAACAUAAAGACAUUCAGCCUAAAGCAGCCUGUUGCCUUCAACAGCAGAAAACUUACAUGGCCUUGCAACCUGAAAGCUGUCAAAUACCACAUACGUGAUUGUGGAGUUUGGACCCCACUGUUGCUAGCUCAGACAUUCAAUAAAACAUCUCAGUCGACACUUUAAAAGAAUGAUCGUGUCUUCUGAUGAGAGCAGUAGGCUGAGUCAGGAGAUCAAUGCUUAAUUUUUAAACUGCUGCAGAUUAUUCUACCUUGGGUAAAUUAGAGCCUGUCUGAACUGUGGUAGAAACUACUUUCUUCCUCUACCACUUUGUGAAGCCAUGAGGACACAAAUGGGUUCAGCUGUGAAUUUUUAAAACUACAAAUUCAACAGCUAACUAAACUUCACUUGGGAUGAUCGUAUUUGAUAGCCCGCCUGAAUUUUCCUUUAUGCUUCAUUGCUUGCCUUACACUGUCCGAACAAUUCCUCGGACUUUCCUUAUUAUAUUCUCCUGCCAGUCGCUAGCUUAAAAAAAAUCCUUUUAUAUUUUAGCUCUUCUUCGUUACUCUGACGGUUAAUUUUGAACUGACAGAACUUCUGAUGAAUACAGAAUGGUAUGUGUUGUUAAGGAUUAACAAGUUUGCUUUGAGGUUUUACUGCAACGCUUAUAUAACGAAUACCGUGCCAGUGAUGUUAACCUGGAAAGCAAGAAAAUCAGAAAAUUAACCGGAUUGGAAUAAUUAUCGUAUGCAAAGUUCACAUACAACAUAUCUCAUUGAUUUUUUUCUCCAUGACCAGAUGAUCUCCUUAGAAUUUCUGGUGUGGAAACGUCUUAAUUUGACAGUGGGUUGCUUUUAUGACCUAAAGCAUAUGGCGGGGAUGAGAAAGAAAUGAGUUUGGUGUGGCUCCUGUGCUUUCCGUGUUCUGUUGGGAUUGUUACUGUGCCGGGUUUCAGCUGUAAGACAAAAAGAAUGUUCUUGGUUCAUACCUGUGGGGGAUU